GGCCAGACUCCUACGGGAGGCAGCAGUGGGGAAUAUUGGACAAUGGGGGAAACCCUGAUGCAGCGACGCCGCGUGAGCGAUGAAGUAUUUCGGUAUGUAAAGCUCUAUCAGCAGGGAAGAAAAUGACGGUACCUGACCAAGAAGCCCCGGCUAACUACGUGCCAGCAGCCGCGGUAAUACGUAGGGGGCAAGCGUUAUCCGGAUUUACUGGGUGUAAAGGGAGCGUAGACGGUUGCGCAAGUCUGGAGUGAAAGGCGGGGGCCCAACCCCCGGACUGCUCUGGAAACUGUGUAACUGGAGUGCAGGAGAGGUAAGUGGAAUUCCUAGUGUAGCGGUGAAAUGCGUAGAUAUUAGGAGGAACACCAGUGGCGAAGGCGGCUUACUGGACUGUAACUGACGUUGAGGCUCGAAAGCGUGGGGAGCAAACAGGAUUAGAUACCCCGGUA
rnacentral:rRNA from 1 species